UGGUGUAAUGGUAAGCACGGCAGACCGGAUAUCUGUAAGUGCGGGUACGAGUCCCGC
rnacentral:tRNA from 1 species